AACCUGCCCAGAAGCGGGGGAUAACACCUGGAAACAGAUGCUAAUANCCGCAUAACAACUUGGACCGCAUGGUCCGAGCUUGAAAGAUGGCUUCGGCUAUCACUUUUGGAUGGUCCCGCGGCGUAUUAAGCUAGAUGGUGGGGUAACGGCUCACCAUGGCAAUGAUACGUAGCCGACCUGAGAGGGUAAUCGGCCACAUUGGGACUGAGACACGGCCCAAACUCCUACGGGAGGCAGCAGUAGGGAAUCUUCCACAAUGGACGAAAGUCUGAUGGAGCAACGCCGCGUGAGUGAAGAAGGGUUUCGGCUCGUAAAACUCUGUUGUUAAAGAAGAACAUAUCUGAGAGUAACUGUUCAGGUAUUGACGGUAUUUAACCAGAAAGCCACGGCUAACUACGUGCCAGCAGCCGCGGUAAUACGUAGGUGGCAAGCGUUGUCCGGAUUUAUUGGGCGUAAAGCGAGCGCAGGCGGUUUUUUAAGUCUGAUGUGAAAGCCUUCGGCUCAACCGAAGAAGUGCAUCGGAAACUGGGAAACUUGAGUGCAGAAGAGGACAGUGGAACUCCAUGUGUAGCGGUGAAAUGCGUAGAUAUAUGGAAGAACACCAGUGGCGAAGGCGGCUGUCUGGUCUGUAACUGACGCUGAGGCUCGAAAGUAUGGGUAGCAAACAGGAUUAGAUACCCUGGUAGUCCAUACCGUAAACGAUGAAUGCUAAGUGUUGGAGGGUUUCCGCCCUUCAGUGCUGCAGCUAACGCAUUAAGCAUUCCGCCUGGGGAGUACGGCCGCAAGGCUGAAACUCAAAGGAAUUGACGGGGGCCCGCACAAGCGGUGGAGCAUGUGGUUUAAUUCGAAGCUACGCGAAGAACCUUACCAGGUCUUGACAUACUAUGCAAAUCUAAGAGAUUAGACGUUCCCUUCGGGGACAUGGAUACAGGUGGUGCAUGGUUGUCGUCAGCUCGUGUCGUGAGAUGUUGGGUUAAGUCCCGCAACGAGCGCAACCCUUAUUAUCAGUUGCCAGCAUUAAGUUGGGCACUCUGGUGAGACUGCCGGUGACAAACCGGAAGGAAGGUGGGGAUGACGUCAAAUCAUCAUGCCCCUUAUGACCUGGGCUACACACGUGCUACAAUGGAUGGUACAACGAGUUGCCGAACUCGCGAGAGUAAAGCUAAUCUCUUAAAGCCAUUCUCAGUUCGGAUUGUAGGCUGCAACUCGCCUACAUGAAGUCGGAAUCGCUAGUAAUCGCGGAUCAG
rnacentral:rRNA from 1 species